rnacentral:tRNA from 1 species
GCGUUUGUAGUUCAGUGGGAGAAUAUCUGCCUUCCAAGCAGAAGACGCCAGUUCGAAUCUGGCCAGACGCUCCA